rnacentral:rRNA from 1 species
GCAGUCGAGCGGAUUGAUGGGAGCUUGCUCCCAUCAGUCAGCGGCGGACGGGUGAGUAACACGUGGGUAACCUGCCUGUAAGACUGGGAUAACUCCGGGAAACCGGGGCUAAUACCGGAUAACUCAUUUCCUCGCAUGAGGAAAUGUUGAAAGGUGGCUUUUAGCUAUCACUUACAGAUGGACCCGCGGCGCAUUAGCUAGUUGGUGAGGUAACGGCUCACCAAGGCGACGAUGCGUAGCCGACCUGAGAGGGUGAUCGGCCACACUGGGACUGAGACACGGCCCAGACUCCUACGGGAGGCAGCAGUAGGGAAUCUUCCGCAAUGGACGAAAGUCUGACGGAGCAACGCCGCGUGAGUGAUGAAGGUUUUCGGAUCGUAAAACUCUGUUGUUAGGGAAGAACAAGUACCGUUCGAAUAGGGCGGUACCUUGACGGUACCUAACCAGAAAGCCACGGCUAACUACGUGCCAGCAGCCGCGGUAAUACGUAUGUGGCAAGCGUUGUCCGGAAUUAUUGGGCGUAAAGCGCGCGCAGGUGGUUUCUUAAGUCUGAUGUGAAAGCCCACGGCUCAACCGU